rnacentral:rRNA from 1 species
UAGUUGGUGAGGUAACGGCUCACCAAGCCGACGAUGGAUAGGGGAACUGAGAGGUUGGUCCCCCACACUGGUACUGAGACACGGACCAGACUCCUACGGGAGGCAGCAGUGAGGAAUAUUGGUCAAUGGGCGGGAGCCUGAACCAGCCAAGUCGCGUGAAGGAAGAAGGAUCUAUGGUUCGUAAACUUCUUUUGCAGGGGAAUAAAGUGCAGGACGUGUCCUGUUUUGUAUGUACCCUGAGAAUAAGGAUCGGCUAACUCCGUGCCAGCAGCCGCGGUAAUACGGAGGAUCCGAGCGUUAUCCGGAUUUAUUGGGUUUAAAGGGUGCGUAGGUGGUUUGAUAAGUCAGCGGUGAAAGUUUGCAGCUUAACUGUAAAAAUGCCGUUGAAACUGUCGGACUUGAGUGUAAAUGAGGUAGGCGGAAUGCGUGGUGUAGCGGUGAAAUGCAUAGAUAUCACGCAGAACUCCGAUUGCGAAGGCAGCUUACUAAGCUACAACUGACACUGAAGCACGAAAGCGUGGGGAUCAAACAGGAUUAGAUACCCUGGUAGUCCACGCAGUAAACGAUGAUUACUAGCUGUUUGCGAUACACAGUAAGCGGCACAGCGAAAGCGUUAAGUAAUCCACCUGGGGAGUACGCCGGCAACGGUGAAACUCAAAGGAAUUGACGGGGGCCCGCACAAGCGGAGGAACAUGUGGUUUAAUUCGAUGAUACGCGAGAACCUUACCCGGGUUUGAACGUAUGAAAACAGGGUGGAAACAUCCUUUCAGCAAUGACUGCUACGAGUGCUGCAUGUGCCGUCAG